CUGAAUGUUGACCUCGGAUCAGGUAGGAAUACCCGCUGAACUUAAGCAUAUCAAUAAGCGGAGGAA
rnacentral:rRNA from 1 species